GACGAACGCUGGCGGCGUGCCUAAUACAUGCAAGUAGAACGCUGAAGAGAGGAGCUUGCUCUUCUUGGAUGAGUUGCGAACGGGUGAGUAACGCGUAGGUAACCUGCCUGGUAGCGGGGGAUAACUAUUGGAAACGAUAGCUAAUACCGCAUGAUAUUAAUUGUCGCAUGAUAAUUAAUUGAAAGAUGCAAUUGCAUCACUACCAGAGGGACCUGCGUUGUAUUAGCUAGUUGGUGAGGUAACGGCUCACCAAGGCGACGAUACAUAGCCGACCUGAGAGGGUGAUCGGCCACACUGGGACUGAGACACGGCCCAGACUCCUACGGGAGGCAGCAGUAGGGAAUCUUCGGCAAUGGGGGGAACCCUGACCGAGCAACGCCGCGUGAGUGAAGAAGGUUUUCGGAUCGUAAAGCUCUGUUGUAAGAGAAGAACGGGUGUGAGAGUGGAAAGUUCACACUGUGACGGUAUCUACCA
rnacentral:rRNA from 1 species